UUACUGUUCUGAAUUUCACCAAAAUACCCUUUAAUUAUCUUAGUCUAAAUUAAUAUUCUUGGGGCAAAAAAUGUCUUUUCUUGACCAUAUAAUAUUUUCAGUGGGGCCAACAUUAACAUAAACCACAUUGUAUCCAAACUGCUACACCUUUAUCUUCUCUUCCCCAAUAUUUCUUGAAACCCUAAUUUGUUCUGCAAAAAGCAUGCUCUUCUUCGGCAGACAUGAACGACUUCACACGCUACCCUUUGUCUUUCCUACCUUCACACACAAUCCUACCAUAUCUCUCCACACGUUUUAUACUUCUCCAUCUCUCUCCACAAUUGCUUGUCUUUUCCAACCAACAACAAAUACCUCUUCCAAUAAUCUCCAGCUCUGAAGUUCACUAUGGCAAGAUCUUUUGAGAAAUUGAAGGACAUCAAUGAAAGUAAGGAGCUCUGGAAAAUUGUCGUCAUAAUCCAUCACAAAUGGAUAGUUUUAUCAAAGACCAUAGAGCACUUCGAAUUGAUUUUGGUUGAUAAAGAGGCUAGAAGAUUCAAUACUUUUGUCGGUGAAUCUAUUUUAUAAACAGAAUUCUAUCGACUAUCACUAUAGUGUGAGUGUGAUUUAUCCAUGGUGAGAUGGGGCUAUAUAGAAAGUGACAUUUGACAAUCAAUGUUGGUGCAUAGGCAAGAUGUGGAACAGCUAUAGACAUGGUGUUGCAGUUGUUAGAUACAUCACACUCAAACGAUUUAAAACACUUUUUAAAAAAGUAUAACAUACUUUAGAUGCUAAGGAAUCAGGAAAAUGGAGUUAUGUCCAGGUUGGUUGUAGCUGUCUGUGACUACCUCUAUUGUGUUUUUCUGAGCUAGCUCAAGACAAUCCAUGAAGGGUUACAAGAAAUUGUUGGAUUAUUCCCUUGCAAUCAGGUACUUUAUUAGAGAUUAUUCAGACUCUUCUAGGACUAGAACAAAUGCAAAUGGAUGAAAUCAGGAUUUUAGGAUGCAACACUCUCACAAUUGUAUUAAAACUGAUUGUCUCAAACUAUAUUGGAAAAAGAAGGAACUAGAAUUUGAAUAACUAUCAAAGUUGAAAAAUAUAUGAAGGUGAAAGUUAAGGGAAAAGAAGGGAGAGCUUCAAAAAACAGUGUCCCUACUUAAAAGCUCUUGCUUUCUGUAAAAAUGAGAGGUAUACUGGCACAGAGGAAUACAUAUGGUGGUGAUAGUCUUUCGGAUCUAACAUGGCUUCAUGUGAAUAAAUUUUCACUUUCAUUGCAACUUGAGCAGAAACUGAGAAGGGAUUCAAGGUCAUCGGUGAUGAGUCCACGUGCAUUGUUUCGACUCUCAACAUUGGCGAAAGCCUUUCAGUGAAAACUAUUUUUUUAACAUUUGUAAUUACUGUCAUUUAUUCAGCAAGACUUCAAUCUUACUGUACAAUUGAAAUUAAACACAACCUAAAAUUACUGUUACCGCA